rnacentral:rRNA from 1 species
AUAAUCAUUUGUCUUUUAAUUGAAGUCUGGAAUGAAUGGUUGGAUGAAAAAUUUACUUUCUUUAUUUUAUAGAAAAAAAUUAAUUUUUGAAUUAAAAAGUUUAAAUAAAAUUAUAGGACGAGAAGACCCUAUAGAACUUUAUUUUUAACCCAAGAAAUUAUAUUUUGUUUAUAUUUAUAAUUUCUUGGGCUAAAAAUUUUGUUGGGGUGACAGAAAAAAAUUAAUAACUUUUUCUAUUUGUUUCAUUUAUUUAUGAUAUUUUGAUCCUUUAUUAUGGAAAUAAGAUUAAGUUACCUUAGGGAUAACAGCGUUAUUAUUUUAGAGAGUUCUUAUCGAUAAAAUAGUUUGCGACCUCGAUGUUGGAUUAAAAUAAAUUUCAGGAGUAGAAAAUUGAAUAUUAGGUCUGUUCGACCUUUAAAUUUUUACAUGAUCUGA